GGUCCAUGGCUCAGUGGUAGAGCAUCUGCUUUGUAUGUACAAGGUACCAGGUUCAAUUCCCAGCAUCUCCA
rnacentral:tRNA from 1 species